GGUUAAGCGACUAAGCGUACACGGUGGAUGCCCUGGCAGUCAGAGGCGAUGAAGGACGUGCUAAUCUGCGAUAAGCGUCGGUAAGGUGAUAUGAACCGUUAUAACCGGCGAUUUCCGAAUGGGGAAACCCAGUGUGAUUCGUCACACUAUCAUUAACUGAAUCCAUAGGUUAAUGAGGCGAACCGGGGGAACUGAAACAUCUAAGUACCCCGAGGAAAAGAAAUCAACCGAGAUUCCCCCAGUAGCGGCGAGCGAACGGGGAGCAGCCCAGAGCCUGAAUCAGUGUGUGUGUUAGUGGAAGCGUCUGGAAAGGCGUGCGAUACAGGGUGACAGCCCCGUACACAAAAAUGCACAUACUGUGAGCUCGAUGAGUAGGGCGGGACACGUGGUAUCCUGUCUGAAUAUGGGGGGACCAUCCUCCAAGGCUAAAUACUCCUGACUGACCGAUAGUGAACCAGUACCGUGAGGGAAAGGCGAAAAGAACCCCGGCGAGGGGAGUGAAAAAGAACCUGAAACCGUGUACGUACAAGCAGUGGGAGCACGCUUAGGCGUGUGACUGCGUACCUUUUGUAUAAUGGGUCAGCGACUUAUAUUCUGUAGCAAGGUUAACCGAAUAGGGGAGCCGAAGGGAAACCGAGUCUUAACUGGGCGUUAAGUUGCAGGGUAUAGACCCGAAACCCGGUGAUCUAGCCAUGGGCAGGUUGAAGGUUGGGUAACACUAACUGGAGGACCGAACCGACUAAUGUUGAAAAAUUAGCGGAUGACUUGUGGCUGGGGGUGAAAGGCCAAUCAAACCGGGAGAUAGCUGGUUCUCCCCGAAAGCUAUUUAGGUAGCGCCUCGUGAAUUCAUCUCCGGGGGUAGAGCACUGUUUCGGCAAGGGGGUCAUCCCGACUUACCAACCCGAUGCAAACUGCGAAUACCGGAGAAUGUUAUCACGGGAGACACACGGCGGGUGCUAACGUCCGUCGUGAAGAGGGAAACAACCCAGACCGCCAGCUAAGGUCCCAAAGUCAUGGUU
rnacentral:rRNA from 1 species